GUUUGGUUAAGUUAGAAAGGGCGCACGGUGGAUGCCUUGACACUAGGAGUCGAUGAAGGACGGGACUAACGCCGAUAUGCUUCGGGGAGCUGUAAGUAAGCUUUGAUCCGAAGAUUUCCGAAUGGGGAAACCCACCAUACGUAAUGGUAUGGUAUCCUUAUCUGAAUACAUAGGGUAAGGAAGACAGACCCAGGGAACUGAAACAUCUAAGUACCUGGAGGAAGAGAAAGCAAAUGCGAUUUCCUGAGUAGCGGCGAGCGAAACGGAACAUAGCCCAAACCAAGAGGCUUGCCUCUUGGGGUUGUAGGACAUUCUAUACGGAGUUACAAAGGAACGAGGUAGACGAAGCGACCUGGAAAGGUCCGUCGUAGAGGGUAACAACCCCGUAGUCGAAACUUCGUUCUCUCUUGAAUGUAUCCUGAGUACGGCGGAACACGUGAAAUUCCGUCGGAAUCUGGGAGGACCAUCUCCCAAGGCUAAAUACUCCCUAGUGAUCGAUAGUGAACCAGUACCGUGAGGGAAAGGUGAAAAGCACCCCGGAAGGGGAGUGAAAGAGAUCCUGAAACCGUGUGCCUACAA
rnacentral:rRNA from 1 species